UGUCCAAUCGACUAAGUGGUUAGAGCGUCCACCUCGGAUGCGGGAGGUCGCGGAUUCGAACCCCGGCUGAGUCAU